GAUUGAGAGAGGAAGUGAUGUCACUGUGGGAACUGCCCUGUGAGGACAAGGACGUCCGUCAUCCUCUGCUCCUGCUCACAGUGACACUGAUCUGGUAACGCCCCCGUCCUGGCCUGACCCUGCCAUGGGCACCAGGCUCCUCUGCUGGGUGGUCCUGGGUUUCCUAGGGACAGAUCACACAGGUGCUGGAGUCUCCCAGUCUCCUAGGUACAAAGUAAUAAAGAAGGGACAGGAUGUAGCUCUGAGGUGUGAUCCAAUUUCGGGUCAUGCAGCCCUCUAUUGGUACCAACAGGCUCUGGGGCAGGGCCCAGAGUUUCUGACUUACUUCAAUUAUCAAGCUCAACCAGACAAAUCAGGGCUGCCCAAUGAUCGGUUCUCUGCAGAGAGGCCUGAGGGAUCUGUCUCCACUCUGACGAUCCAGCGAACAGAGCAGGGGGACUCGGCCGUGUAUCUCUGUGCCAGCAGCUUAGCCACAGCGUGGCACAGUCACCUCCUUCCUGUUCACAAACCUCGUCCUUCACUCUCCUGCAGUUCCCAGAGACCCUUGACAGAGGCCUCUCUUUGCUCCUCACUUUUCAUGGGAAAGAGGUGGAUUUGGACAUCGGCUGUCCUUUGGGUAGAAAGAGACCACAGAUUCAUUUCUGAAACACAGUGACUGCAAAUGUAGGUGGUGAAAACAAUCAGGGCCCGCUGCACUCUAGGAGUCCUCGGAACCAGCUCACUUCUUCAAGCAAGGAGUGGGUGUCUUAGCCUCGGCCUUCAGGGCAGACAUGCAUCUUCUAUAGGUCUUGGAGGCUGCUGUGUUGCCCACAUCCAUGAGGUUGUCAAGGGCAGGAAACAUGCCUCUUCUCCAUAUGUUGGGACAUCUGGAAGGUCUGAGGCUACAUCCCCAGGAAGAUCUUUCUUCUGAAGCCUCUUCUAUCCCUGUCACCUUGGAAGUUUCUGCAACAAAAUAUCAAACCUCUCUUCCUGUUUGAAGUAAAGGUCUGUGCAACUUUUGUGGUCCUUACGUGAUAAAUAUAAUCAUGAUAACAAUAAGACUUCAUUUCUUCUGCCUACUUUAAGCCACAUGUAUCCUUUAUUUUGUUUCCAUUUGCCAUUGCUGCUGUUCUGAUAGACACAGGCAUGCAUUCACCACUGCUGCCAGUUCACCUUGAUUCCCUCAGGAAAUCUGAUUUUUAGACUCUGAGUGUUUUCGUUGUUGUCCAACUCAUUUGAUUUGAAAUA